rnacentral:rRNA from 1 species
GUGGGGAAUAUUGGACAAUGGGCGAAAGCCUGAUCCAGCCAUGCCGCGUGUGUGAAGAAGGCCUUCGGAUUGUAAAGCACUUUAAGUUGGGAGGAAGGGUAGUAACCUAAUACGUUGCUACUUUGACGUUACCGACAGAAUAAGCACCGGCUAACUUCGUGCCAGCAGCCGCGGUAAUACGAAGGGUGCAAGCGUUAAUCGGAAUUACUGGGCGUAAAGCGCGCGUAGGUGGUUCAGUAAGUUGGAAGUGAAAUCCCCGGGCUCAACCUGGGAACUGCUUUCAAAACUGCUGAGCUAGAGUACGGUAGAGGGUGGUGGAAUUUCCUGUGUAGCGGUGAAAUGCGUAGAUAUAGGAAGGAACACCAGUGGCGAAGGCGACCACCUGGACUGAUACUGACACUGAGGUGCGAAAGCGUGGGGAGCAAACAGGAUUAGAAACCCCUGUAGUCC